rnacentral:rRNA from 1 species
CGCCUCUUGAUAAGAGGUCCAGCCUGCCCAGUGACGUUCAACGGCCGCGGUACCCUAACCGUGCGAAGGUAGCGUAAUCACUUGUUUUCUAAAUAAAGACCAGUAUGAAAGGCAUCACGAGGACUAAACUGUCUCCUUUUUUUAAUCAGUGAACCUAAUCUCCCCGUGAAGAAGCGGGGAUUUUUGUAUAAGACGAGAAGACCCUAUGGAGCUUAAAACAUAAUAACACCUGCACCAUGAUUAUAUGUUUUUGGUUGGGGUGACCGCGGAGAAAAACCCAUCCUCCGCAAUGAAAAACAACAAGUCACAACUUUAUGUAUCAACAAAUUGACAUGCAUUGACCCAAUAUAUUGAUUAACGAACCAAGUUACCCUAGGGAUAACAGCGCAAUCCACUUCAAGAGCCCAUAUCGACAAGUGGGCUUACGACCUCGAUGUUGGAUCAGGGUAUCCCAGUGGUGCAGCCGCUACUAACGGUUCGUUUGUUCAACGAUUAAAACCCU